ensembl:lncRNA
GUAUGUAGUAUGUUCUAACAUCAUUCUGAUGUGAAUACUCAUAUUUCAAAAAGUUUCUCAGUACUCCAUAUGUUUCAUUUGUCCUAUAAAAACCAUCUUUUUAUACUUCCUUUCUCUUGUUUUAGUGUAGACCUUUUAGUAGCUUCUAGUUAACCUCUAGUAUGAAGUCUGAUUGAAUUUGGUUCUUCUUACCUUUUUCCCUCCAUUUCUGCAUCUCUCACUACCUGUAAAGCAAGAGUCCUCCCUCCAAUAAAAGAAGACUUUCGUUCUCUGACACUCCAAUCCGGAUGCCACUCCAAUCCGGAUCCUUUGAUUACUUCCUCACUUUCAGAACUAAUCCAUCAUCUUCCUCUAAAAUUAAGAGGAUCUUCUCUAGUAAUACCAGAAAUUAUAUAGUUUGAAAGACACUUGAUCAUACUUUUAUGCUGUUUAAGAAUAGUUCUACAGUAGAGAAAGUGGGAGGAAUUUGGCUAAAAUUAUGCCAAUUGAGUGACUAGUUUGAUCAAACCCUCAAAAUAAUGGCUGGGCUCUCUGUUUCUUUCUGCCUGGCACUGUGGGCUCUUUUUUGCAAUCUUUGAGCAUUGUGGGAAAUAAUUUCAUAAUGCAUUUUUGCCCAUUAGAAGAUCUGUAGUGUUUUUCACCAUGAUUUUGGGUAUUUUCUUUCUGUAAUAACUUUGACCCUCUCCCAAUAUUCAUCAUUUACUUAAUAAAUGGUCUAUUUCUCACACAAUGAUUUAGGGGGAAAUUUUGUGAAGCAGAAAUUUUGCAGUGCUCCACGUAAAGUUCUGCUGUUUCCAUAAACUCCACUAGUAGUCUGUCCUGAUUCUUGUGACAAACUGACUUUUUACUUCAUUCUAAGACUCAGCAACAAGAUAAUACGAUGUUAAAAAUGACUUUAAUUUACCUGAGAAUGUUAUCAAAGUAUGCUGCAUAUCCAAGAGUCACAUUUUUAAAAUAAUGAGAGCACAGUUAUUAGACAAGAGUAUUUAAUGAAAUUUGUACCGAUAUAGAUCCUCUAGCACUUGAACAAAAUACUGUAAAACACUGACUUAAUGUCUCCUGUGUGAUACUUUGCAUUUUAUUUUAUUUAAUCUCGAGGUGUAUACUUUUGACAACAAGAACUCUAGACGGAAUAAAUAUUAACUAAAGAGAAACUGAAUUGCACUACUGAAGAACAGAAGUAGUAAUGUUUCCAGAUACAGACAUCUUAAAUAAGAGCAUGUGGAUAUGUGACAGCUGUGGCAGUCAGAUAAGAAAAGCAUCGUGAAACAGGAGAGAAGUCAUUUUCCUGCAACUUAUUUAUAGUCACCAGGGCUAUAAAGGGUCACAAAUCUCACCCCCAGGGUCCGUAGUCCCACGCCAGCUUGCUGCUUCUCCUUUGAGGGAAGUCAGUGACUUGAUGCUGCCCUGAACGCCAGUCUUUCUGCAAGGUGACCCAGAGGCCUUGUGAAUCAGAAUGAAGUGGUGUUUGAAGAGGUCAGCAGGAGUGGAAAGAAUAGAGAAGAAAAUCAAAGUGAAAGUCAAAAGAAAACCCAUUGAUUCUGGAGCAUGCAAAAUCCUAAAUAUAGAAAAACUAGGAAAACUUAAUUUCUU